UUAAAGAUCACUGAGGCAGCCAAAGUAAAGGGCAGAUGCUGUCACUACACCCGGCUGGGAUAUUUUCGGUUGAAAUACCUAAGGAGAAAUGAGAACAGUUUUGGUACUGCCUCUUCACGGAAUUCUCCUAAACUGCUGUGGAGAACAAAACAUACUGAUUUACUGGUGCUGCAGAUAGCUGCAGGUCUGGAGCCAACCGAUCCUAUGGUGUUGUUCAGCUCCUUGUAAAGGG